AGAAAAGGUGAGUAACAACAUGAA
rnacentral:siRNA from 1 species